GGAGGAGCUUGCUUCUCUGGAUGAGUUGCGAACGGGUGAGUAACGCGUAGGUAACCUGCCUGGUAGUGGGGGAUAACUAUUGGAAACGAUAGCUAAUACCGCAUAACAGUAGAUAUUGCAUGAUAUCUGCUUGAAAGGUGCAAUUGCAUCACUACCAGAUGGACCUGCGUUGUAUUAGCUAGUUGGUGAGGUAACGGCUCACCAAGGCGACGAUACAUAGCCGACCUGAGAGGGUGAUCGGCCACACUGGGACUGAGACACGGCCCAGACUCCUACGGGAGGCAGCAGUAGGGAAUCUUCGGCAAUGGACGGAAGUCUGGUGACCGAGCAACGCCGCGUGAGUGAAGAAGGUUUUCGGAUCGUAAAGCUCUGUUGUAAGAGAAGAACGAGUGUGAGAGUGGAAAGUUCACACUGUGACGGUAUCUUACCAGAAAGGGACGGCUAACUACGUGCCAGCAGCCGCGGUAAUACGUAGGUCCCGAGCGUUGUCCGGAUUUAUUGGGCGUAAAGCGAGCGCAGGCGGUUAGAUAAGUCUGAAGUUAAAGGCUGUGGCUUAACCAUA
rnacentral:rRNA from 1 species